CUCCCCAAAACUCACGAUUUCCCCCAAUCUCUCCUCCUCCCAUCCACCGGACCACCUCACAAGUCACGAUCAUCUCAGGAAGCUUUUACGUUCCGACCAGGCGACCACCGUUGAGCUCGACAGACGACAGGACACCACCAUCGGCAGAACCCUGCAGAAACUACCAACGCGGCAGGUAACAUCAAUUUUUUUGCUUACUGAUAAGUGGUGAUGAGUCGAUGAUCCUUUGUGAAAAUAAUCAUUUUUUCCCUAUUUCUUAGUCUCUAGAAGAAUCCAAUGUCGACUGAGUAAAUCCCUCCUAGAAGUCGUUCGUGCUAUCUUUGCUUUAACUAUUUUUCUUCAUAUUUUUUGGGAUGCAGAAACAAAUUACAGAUACAGACAUACAGUAGAACUAUCUCCAUAAGCUUUUGUAGAUUUAUCUCCAUAAAAAAACUAUUAAGACUGAUGGGAUAUAAAAUUCAUCAGAGACCAGGAAAAUAACUAUUCUAAUUCCCAGACAAAAUUAUAAGCCUCUCAUUUACAUACCACUAUAAAAGGUCAAAUUAUUGUCAUUUUCAAUCAACCAUUUUAUCAAGAUCAAAUGAACAAUAAUUUUAUUGCUCGAAAAUAAUGUUGUGUAUAAAGAAGCUAAUAUUUGAAAAGAAUGGAAGGAUAAAAAAUAUCAUUGGAUCUGGUUAAAAAUAUCAUUCUAAUAUCUAUAAAAAUAUCAUUAUAGAUGAAAGAAAACUGGAUAGUACUUGAAUUUAACCUGGAUUCCAUCAAGCAAAUCUCGAAGUGCUGCGUUUAGAGAGUCCAAAUUAUCAGGACUAACUGAAAAAUGGAGGAAAAGGUAUGUACCGAAAAAUCUAACUAUGACUGAUUUUUUUUGUAUGGUCGUCAUGACUAAUUUGGUAUUAUUUUUUGUUCAUUUCCAAAAUUAGAAGAAAUCCACAAGGUAACAAGGUAACAAUUUUGUUCAUUUUUUGUCGGAAGCUUAAAAAGAUUUUCAAUACCAAGGUAACAAGGUUCUGUUACUUUUUUUUAUUUUUAGAAUUGAUAGAUUUAUAAUUUUAUACAUUAUUUCUUAUAUAAUUUUAUAGUUCGAUUUAAGAAUGUAAGAUUGUAUUUUUAGAUUUAAGGUGAAUCUUAUUUCUUAAAUUACAGUCUUACAGAUGGGAAAAUAUUUUAAAAAGACAACUCCUUCUCCACAACCACAAGAAGAUAUUUCAGAAACAAGUAAAAGAAAACGAUUAUCUAUUAUUCCUAAACCAUUAGCUUCCAAUGAUCUUCCUUCUGAUCCAGCAUUAAGAAAGAAGAUGUCAAUGUAUAAUAUCAAUGAGAUUGAUGAUAUUAGAAGGAAGUACAUUCAAAAAGGUCCUUGUCAACCAAAAACACACUUAUUUUCGCAAACUUGGUUUGGCAAAUUUAGUCGUCGAUUUAACUGUUCUUAGUUUGAUACAUAUCCUACAUGGUUAGAGUAUAGUGUUUCUGAUGAUUCAGCUUUUUGUUUAUGUUGCUACCUUUUUAAACCAUAUGAAGGAGAUAAGGCAGGCGGAGAUACUUUUGUUACAGUUGGAUUUCGAAAUUGAAAAAAACCUGAUAAAUUGCUUGAACAUGUUGGAAUUGUUGAUAGCUCUCACAAUAAGGCAUGGGAAAAGUAUAAGAAUAUGAGGAAAGCAAAACAUCAGUUAUAACCUAUUUUAUAGAAACAGACAAUAUCAGAAGAUAUCAAUUAUCGUAUGCGAUUGACAGCCUCAUUAGAUGCCAUUCGUUAUUUUUUAAAUCAAGGAUUACCUUUUCGUGGGCACAACGAAUCUAAUGAAUCUCUAAAUAAAGAAAUUUGUUUGGAGUUGUUAGAAGUAUUUGCAAGUAGAGAUGAAAAUUAUAAACAAGCAAUGAUCACUGCUCCUAGCUAGAAAUAAUCUGAUGAGAGCUCCACUCAUUCAAAGUCAGUUGAUGGCUAUUGCAAGUGCUGAAACUACAAGACUUAUUCUAAAAGAUCUCAACCAUGAUUUAUUUGUCGUAUUGAUUGAUGAAUCUAGAGACAUAUCAAUUAAAGAACAAAUGGCUGUGGUUAUUCGAUAUGUGGACAAGAAGGGAUUUGUAAUGGAGCGUUAUUUAACAGUUGUUCAUGUGACAGAAACUAAUGUGUUGAUUCUAAAAAAGACUCUUGAUGCUUUAUUCUGCAAACAUAAUUUAAGUAUUACCAAUCUACGAGGUCAAGGAUAUGACGGCGUGAGUAAUAUGUCUGGUGAUAUAAAUGGUUUAAAAUCAUUGAUUCUUAAAGAAAAUAAUUCUGCUUUUUAUGUUCAUUGUUUUGCACAUCAAUUACAGUUGACAAUUGUUGCUGCUACUAAAAGUGAUAAGAAGAUUGUGACUUUUUUUAAUACAGUUGCAAAUAUAACUAAUGUUGUUGUAGCAUCUUGCAAGCGUCGAGAUGUCCUUCGAGAAAAACAAGUUGAUAGUAUUGCAAAAGCAUUGGAUAUGGAAGAGUUAAAUACUGAACAAGGAAAAAAUCAAGAAACAACUAUAAAGCGAGCUGGAGACACAAGAUGGGGUUCUCAUUAUGGUACAAUAUGCAGUUUAAUUCUUAUGUUUUCAUCAGUGAUGGAGGUUUUAGAAGUUGUUUCUGAUGAUGCCAAGCUUGUAGAACAAAGUGCUUCCGCAGAAAUAUUGUUAGAUGUCAUGAAACAAAUUGAUUUUAUUUUCUAUUUAAAUUUGAUGGAAGCAAUUCUUGCAAUUACAGAUGAUUUGUCUCAAGCAUUGCAAAGAAAAGAUCAAGACAUAAAUAAUGCAAUGCGAUUAGUAACAGUUUCGAAGCAAAGACUUCAAGAUUUGCGAGAUAAUGGAUGGGAAGAUUUACUUUCAAAUAUUUGUUCUUUAUGUGUAAAAAAUGAUAUAACAGUGUCAUCAAUGGAUGAAAUAUAUGUACCUUAUGGCCGAAAAAGAAGAAACAUAGAAAAAAUUACAAGUCUUCACUAUUACAAGAUUGAUCGUUUCUUCUAUAUGAUCGAUAUACAAAUUCAGGAACUUAAUAAUCGAUUUACUGAGACUAACACAGAGUUACUACUGUGUAUCCAUUGUCUUGAUCCACAUUCUUCUUUUGAGGCUUUCGAUAUACAGUUUUGCUUCAUUCUAUCCUGCUGAUUUUUCACCAUUACAACUUAUGAUGCUGAAUAAUCAAUUACAGAAUUACAUUCAUGAUGUUCAGUCUAAUGAAGAUUUUGAUGAUGUCGUGGGUAUUGGUGGUCUAACACAGAAAUUGGUAGAGUGUAAGAUGGAUAUUGUUUAUCCUUUGGUUUAUUUACUGAUCAAAUUAGCGUUGAUAUUGCCAGUUACAACUGCAUCAGUUGAACGUAGUUUUUCAGCAAUGCAUAUCGUUAAAACUCGUCUCAGAAGUCGCUUUGGUGAUAGUUUGAUGAAUGAUUGUUUAGUAACAUAUAUCGAGAAAGAUAUUUUUAAAACUAUUGACAACGAAGUUAUUUUAAAAAUAUUUAAUAAUAUGUGUCAUCGUCGUAGGACAUUGAAGUAAUGUAAAAUGUAUUUGAAAUUUUUAUUGUUAAUUAAAUGAAUGUAUUUAUUUUUAAUUUGAAUAUUAAUUAAUGUAUUGAAUAUUAAUUAUGGAAUAUGAAUGUAUUGAUUUUUUAUAGGUUUUUAUAAUCAAUUAUAUGAAUAGGUCAUGCCAAAAUUUGCAUAGGUUUUUUAAUUAGUACAAAAAAAAAUUUUCGCCUUCGGCGAAUCUUACCCCCCCUGCCGGGGAAUCCUGGAUACGCCCCUGGGUAUAUUAUGGUAUCUCAUAUAUUUUUUUGCUUUAUAAAUCCAACCUUGGGCAUUCUCUCCAUCAAACUUAGGUAUCUCUGUCCUAAUUGAUUUAUAUUUCAUUUCUUGUUUUUGCUGUCCAUGACUCUCUGGAUUACUUAUGAGCAAUAGUGUCUCGCUCAUCUUUAAUAAUGUUUGUUCCAUGUUCCUUAGUCUCUCAGCUUCAGUAUCCUGUUUGAUCAGUAGUCUCUUGAGUUAGACAUCCAUGGAUUCAACCAUUUUCUCAAGUUAUCACGCUGAAAUAAUUUUUUUUUUUAUAUAUAUCACUGAAUAAAAGAACAAAAGUAAAGAUAGAGAUAAUUAAUUACGUUCCUGAUCCGGAUCUCUUAAGCAGAGAACAAACUUUUGAAGAGUUUAUUUGUAGGUUUAUAGGUUUACAAAACCUUCUUCAGUUCCUCCCCAAUAGUGUUCAGUGAUCUGAAAAUUUAAGCUAUUGUAUUUAAUAACAGAAUUUUUACUAGAUGUAAAGGAUGAUUGAGAUCUCUUAAGCAGAGAACAUGCUUUUGAAUUGCUUUUGAAUUGCUUUUUUUAUUCCUUUUUUCAGGAUGUAAUCUCCUUCCUCUGAAGAUCUUCAGAUGAUCCCCGGACUAUGAGCUGAAACCAGUAGGCGAGAGGGCUUGAAAGCACCAAUGAUGGAGUGAUUUUGGAGAUCGAGUUGGUUAAUAGGAUGAAGUUGGCGGCUGGAAUUUAAUGAAACAGUAGCAAGACUAGGGUUUCUUCAACCCAGAUCUGUUUUAAGACUUAGAAAAUAUAUUGAUUACUGAAUUAAACAAAUGAGUUUCCUUUUUAUAGGGUUACAUGUUUAAAAGAACUAACUAACUAUAUAGUUCCUGCGAACUAUUUUAACAACUGAAAUAACAAUAAUUGAAAACACGAUUAACUAAUGUAACAUUAACCCCUUUAAACGCACAAAUAGGGUUUUC
rnacentral:lncRNA from 1 species